UCGAGCGGGCGUAGCAAUACGUCAGCGGCAGACGGGUGAGUAACGCGUGGGAACGUACCUUUUGGUUCGGAACAACACAGGGAAACUUGUGCUAAUACCGGAUAAGCCCUUACGGGGAAAGAUUUAUCGCCGAAAGAUCGGCCCGCGUCUGAUUAGCUAGUUGGUGAGGUAACGGCUCACCAAGGCGACGAUCAGUAGCUGGUCUGAGAGGAUGAUCAGCCACAUUGGGACUGAGACACGGCCCAAACUCCUACGGGAGGCAGCAGUGGGGAAUAUUGGACAAUGGGCGCAAGCCUGAUCCAGCCAUGCCGCGUGAGUGAUGAAGGCCCUAGGGUUGUAAAGCUCUUUUGUGCGGGAAGAUAAUGACGGUACCGCAAGAAUAAGCCCCGGCUAACUUCGUGCCAGCAGCCGCG
rnacentral:rRNA from 1 species